rnacentral:misc_RNA from 1 species
CAUCUUUAUGGUGCUGAAAAUAUGGAGAGGUUCAAAAACGAAUCACUCCCCUCCAAAUCUACCCCCAGGACCAAGCAAGCUUCCUAUUAUUGGAAACAUGCAUCAGCUUGUUGGCCCUCCACCUCAUCAUCGCCUAAGAGACUUGGCCAAGGAAUAUGGAAGUAUUAUGCAUCUUCAGCUUGGUGAAGUUUCCAAUAUAGUCAUUUCAUCACCAGAAGCUGCAAAAGAAGUGAUGAAGACUCAUGAUGUUGUGUUUGCUCAGAGGCCUUUUCUCUUAGCUGCUAGUAUUAUAACUUAUAACUUCACAGAUAUUGCAUUUUCACCAUAUGCAGAUUACUGGAGACAGCUGCGAAAAAUUUGCAUAUUGGAAUUGCUAAGUGCAAAGCGUGUGCAAUCAUACAGAUCAAUUAGGGAAGAGGAGGUAUCAAAUUUGAUCGGUACAAUUUCUUCUUCUCCAGGGCAGCCGUUCAACUUUAGCAGGAAGCUUUUUUCUUUAACUUAUGGCAUUGCUGCUCUGGCUACCUUCGGUAAGAAAUGCAAAGACCAAGAGGAAUUCAUACCACUUGUUGAGGAAAUUACAGAGGUAGCUGGAGGAUUCAGUCUAGCAGAUUUGUUCCCUUCCAUUAAAUUGCUCCAUGUGAUUAGUGGGAUGAGGUCUAGACUUGUGAGGCUGCAGCGAGAAGCAGACAGGAUAAUUGAAAACAUCAUUAAUGAUCACAGAGCUAGGAACAAAACAGCAAAGACCAGCAGCGGGGGUGAAGAAGAUGACCUUGUUGAUGUUCUUUUGAGGCUUCAGGAGCAUGGAAACCUUGAAUUUCCAUUGACAACUGACAACAUCAAAGCAGUCAUCCUGGACAUUUUCAUUGCUGGCAGUGAGACAUCAUCAACAACAGUAGAGUGGGCAAUGUCCGAAAUGCUGAAGAAUCCAAGGGUGAUGGAGAAGGCACAAGACGAGGUGAGGAGAGUAUUUGAUAAAAAAGGAAAUGUGGAUGAAACAGACAUUCAUGACCUGAAAUAUUUGAAGUUAGUUAUCAAAGAAACUUUGCGAUUACACCCUCCUGCUCCAUUGCUACUUCCAAGAGAAGGUAGGGAGAGAUGUGAGAUUUACGGGUACGAGAUACCAGCCAAAUCCAAAGUUAUUGUUAAUGCUUGGGCAAUUAACAGGGAUCCAAAUCACUGGACUGAAGCUGACAAAUUCUAUCCAGAAAGAUUUCUUGAUAGUUCAAUUGAUUACAAGGGGAACAAUUUUGAAUUUAUUCCGUUUGGUGCUGGAAGGAGGAUGUGUCCUGGCGUAUUGUUUGGCAUAGCUAAUGUUGAGCUUCCACUUGCACAGUUUCUUUAUCAUUUUGAUUGGAAACUUGCAAGUGGAUUGAAGGCAGAAACUCUAGAUAUGAUCGAGUCUUUUGGCGCUACAGUUAGAAGGAAAAAUGAUCUGCACUUGAUUCCCGUUCCGUACACGCCAUCCUCAGCCGCCUGUUGAAUUAAGUCACUGUAGUAUUAAGUCACUGUAGUAUUCAGAUGUUUAUCACCUUUUAUACUUGUAUUGCAGCUACGUACAACACUUGUGUUCAGCAGUGUAAGAAUCUUACAAAAUAAACCUGCUUUUGUGUACUCAUGGGAAAGAAGAUAAAAAAAAUUGUAAGCGAGUUAAAAUUAG